AUGCUCAGUCUUAGCCUAGAGGGCCAGCUCAGGCCCCAGUACUAUGAUGUGAAGUUUCUCAAGGAAAAUGGAUUGCUCAAGCGUGACCCAAACUACAGUACCGUUUUCAAGAUGAGUGAGAAGGCAUCCAGGAAGAAGUUCAUAUUCCCUCACAAGGAGGCUGCACCGCACCUCGCUGAAGACUACGAUGCCGCUUGCAAGGGGGAAGUGCCGACUAAUUUCACAUUCUCAUAA
rnacentral:rRNA from 1 species